GGUAGCGGCUGGCUUUGUUUGAACAGACUGCGAUCGCUUGAGAUUUGAUGACCAGCAUGACGCAACGGAAUGUGAUUGACAAUCUGGCAAGCUUGCGACCAGCAGCUCAGUAAGAGUCACGACUGCCAGAGAGAGAGAGAGAGAGAGCAGCCCAGAAGAGCUUCGCAAAUACACUACGUGGAUACAUGAUUGGAGAGAACUGUCGACAUUGAUUGAGCAAGGCGUGGUCUUUAGAUCAACUUACAAAUGUGUACAGAAGCCAAGCAUUAUUGUUUCAACAAGCAGCACCAGAAACUA